UGAAGAUUGCAGGUACAAAACCAGCUCUGGAAAGUCACUGUGGAUAUAACAAUGAGCAUUCUUUGUCACACAAUGAGUGAACCUUGAAAAAAGUUAGUAAAGUAUAAGUGUGUUUGAAACUGGAAGAGCGUCCUCCUAGAAAUUCGAUGCUCUUCAAGAAGACGUUGCGAACUUGGUGUCCAUAAACUACAUAUAUGAAAAAGGUAACACAAAGUUGAAUAUGGCCGUAUACCGUCGAAUGUAGAACCCUAUCGACAGCAUAGAGGAAGAAGAAAUCUUGGAAGAUAGAAACAUAAACGGUU